AAUCAAAGGAAAAAAUAUAAGGAAUCCAACAAAGGUGAAGGAGUCCUACAGGGGCAAACUGAGAUCACAUGUGGGCAUUCAUAUGGACACUCAUUGUGCUUGUGUUCUUGUGUGUUAGAUGUGUUCUCAGGUCGCCCCUGUUGGAUUUCCUUUCACUGUGUGUUCAUCUUGCCAUCAAUGUUUGAUCAAUUUUAACUUAGAUGGUGUAGACACAGGCUGACAUGCUUAGCACCACAAAUGAUUGUGGCUCAACCGUUUGGAUAAAAGUUAUGUGGUCAAGGGUGUGGGACCAUACAAGCACUAGAUAAGACAUACCGCUAGUUGAACCCACAACCACAGACUCACAAGGUAAUAAGCCAUGAGAGCUUCCUACCAUCAGGUCAUUGGCCAUUGACAAUGUUGUUAGAUUUUGUGUCGAUAUUGGGCUCUUUGAAUGGGAUGAUAUAGUUUGUGCUUCAAACUGAUCAGAAUUCUACAGCUACUUGUGGUCAUAUUUUGGAGGCCAUUCACAGGCAGUUGCAAGGGAUGCAAUUUAGUGAUUUUAUUGUUUUCCUUUUGUAAAUCUUUUAAUUAAUGUGGCUUAUCAGUCAGCAGAUAAGGCUGUGGAAUCAGUUUGAUUGGAGGAUUUACUUCCUUGUUUUAUUCCAACUUUAGUUGCUAAUGUAUGGGACCUUUUGUAACUAGCCAUCCUCAAAGAUGGCUUUUGGACAUACAAUGAUGUAAUAGUUUCUUGU